rnacentral:lncRNA from 10 species
UUUCUGCCUUUAACCAUUAAGUAUGUUAGAUUUUUGUAUUGCCCUUUACUAGUAUGAGGUGCUAAGGGUUUGUUUUAGGAAUGGAUGUUAGAUUUUCUUAAAUGUUUUUAUGCAUCUAUUGAAAUGAUUACAUGGUUUUUCUUUUGUGGUUUGUUUUUAAUGUAGUUUUAAUAAAUUAUAUUGAUUGAUUUUCUUAUGAUAAACCAAUCCUGCAUUCCUGUGAUAAACCCCACUUUGUCAUGAUGUAUUAUUCUUUUUUUUUUUUUUUUGUGAGACGGAGUCUCACUCUGUCACCCAGGCUGGAGUGCAGUGGCAUGAUCUUGCCUCACUGCAACCUCUGCCUCCCGGGUUCAAGUGAUUCUCCUGCCUCAGCCUCCUGAGUAGCUGGGACUACAGGUGCGUGCCACCACGCCCGGCUAGUUUUUGUAUUUUUAGUAGAGAUGGGGUUUCACCAUAUUGGCCAGGCUGGUCUCGAACUCCUGACCUUGUGAUCCGCCCGCCUCAGGCUCCCAAAAUGCUGGGAUUACAGGCAUGAGCCAUUGCACCCAGCCUAUUCUUUUAAUAAAUUGUUGGGAAGUUAUAUUAGUUUCUAUUGCUGCUGUAAAAAAUUAGCACAGACUUUGUGGCUUAAAACAACACAAAUCUAUCAUCUUACACUUCUAGAGGUGAGAGGUCCCAAAUGAGUUUCACUGGGCCAAAAUUGGUGUUGUCAGGGUUACACUCUCUCCAGAGACUCUAGGGGAGAAUCCAUUUCCUUGCCUUUUUCAGCUUCUAGAGGCUGCUUAGAUUCCUAGAAUAAUGGCUUCUUUCCUCAUCUUCAAAAUAACUAUGUAGUAUCUUUUUUUUUUUUUUUUGAGACGGAGUCUCACACACUGUCGCCCAGGCUGUUGUGCAGUGGCACGAUCUCCGCUCACUGCAACCUCUGCCUCCUGGGUUCAAGUGAUUCUCCUGCCUCAGCCUCCCAAGUAGCUGGGAUUAGAGGCAUGCGCCACCAUGCCCGGCUAAUGUUUUGUAUUUUUAGUAGAGAUGGGGUUUCACCGUGUUGGCCAGGCUGGUCUUGAACUCCUGACCUCAUGAUCCAUCUGCCUGGGCCUCCCAAGGUGCUGGGAUUAUAGGCGUGAGCCACGACGCCUGGCCAACAAUGUAGUAUUUUUUCUCUUUUCUGAACCUCUCUUCCAAUCCUUAUAUCUUCUCUGACUCUGAUCUUCCUGCCUCUCACUUAAAAGGACUCUUGUGAUUACUUUGCAUGCAUUGGGAUCAUCUAGGAUAAUCUCCACAUCUCAAUAUGUUUAAGUUAAUCACAUCUGGAAAGUUCCUUUAACCAUGUAAAGUAACAUAUUCAAAAGUUUUGGAGAUUAGGAUCUGUAGAUCUUUGAGGAUGGGAGGCAUUAUUCAGCCUACUGCAGAUGUAAUUUGAUAAAUUUUUGCUUGGAAUUUUUGCAUCUACAUAAGGAUAUUGGUCUGAAGUUUUCUUUUGUUUAAUGUCUUUAUCUUUGGUAUCGGGGUAAUGCUGACCUCAUAGAAUGGGUUGGGAAGUGUUUCCUGUUUUUGGAAGAGUCUGUGUACAAUUGGUAUCAUUUCUUAAAUUUUAGAGUUUACCAGUAAGUUUUAUUUGUGGGAAGGUUUAAGACUACAAUUUCAAUUUUUAAAAUAUAUAUAGGGCUAUUCAGGUUAUAUUUCUUCUUGUGUGAGGAUUGGUAAUUAGUAUUUUAAAGAAAGUUCUUCAUUUCAUGUAGUUUAUCAAAUUAAUUUUUGUAAAGUUGUUAAUAUCCUCUUAUCAUUUUGUAUAAAUUGUUAAAACGAUUCUAAAAUUGAUAAGAAAAUGCAAAGUAGUUAGAAUGUAGUCAAAGCAACUCUGAAAAAGGAACAAAGUUGGAAGACUAACACAAUGUGAUACCACAUUUGUCAUUCCUGAUAUUAAUAGUUUGUGCCUUUUUCCCCUUGAUCAUCUGGCUAAAGAUUUAUCAAUUGUAUUGAUCAUCUCAAAGAAUCACAUUUUGGUUUAAUUGAUUUUCUCUGUUUUCUGUUUUCUAAUUCAUUGGUUUCUGCUUUAUCUUUAUUGUUUCGUUUUGCUUAUUAUCCAAAAAGUUUAUGAUUUUUGUAUUACUUAGAACUGUGUUAUUUAACUUCCACAUAUUUGGACAUUUUCCAGAGAUCUUUCUGCUAUUGACUUCUAAUUUAAUUACAUUAUGGUAAAGGAAUGUACUUUAUAUGACUUGAAUAUGUUAAAACAUAUCAAAACUUGUUUCAUGGCCCAGAAUAUGGUCUGUAUUGGUAAUAUGUUUCAUGUGCACUUGAGAAGAAUAAAUUUUGCUGUUGUUGAGUAGUCUUCUAUAAAUGUCAACCAAGUUAAGUUGGUUGAUAGUGUUUUUCAUGUCUACUAUAUCCAGGCUGACUUUAUGCCUACUUGUUCUAUCAGUUAUUAAGAGAGGACUAUCGAAGUCCCCAAUGAUAAUUGUGGAUUUGUCUGUUAUUUUUUGUAGUUGUAUCAGUUUUUAUUUAAUUGAUUUUGAACCUUUCAUGCUAGGUGCAUAGACCUUUAGGAUUGUCAUGUCCUCUUAGUUAACUGACCCCACUAUCAUUCUGAAAUGAACUUCCUUGUAUUCU